AUGUGGUAUGUGCUUUCUGCUGUGUUGACUGACAGAUGUCUGUACCACAAUGGGUGGUGGACUUUUGGUGGAGGAACCAAACUCACCGUUGACUUGGGUGUGGUGAGGCCCACCCUCACUGUCCUCCCUCCAUCCAAAGAGGAAGACAAACUGAGUAGUGCCACUCUGGUGUGUUUGGCUGCCGGCGGUUUCCCCUCAAACUGGAAGCUGGGCUGGAAGGUGGGGGGCACCAGCACAUCCUCAGGUGUGUCAAGCAGCCUGGAGGUCCUGGGGACAGACGGCCACUACAGCUGGAGCAGCACCCUGAGCCUCUCUGCAGACCAGUGGAGGAAGGCGGGCUCAGUGAGCUGUGAGGCCAGUCUGAGUGGACAGUGCCCUGUCACUCAAACCCUGGACCCUGACCACUGCUCAGAGUAGAACUUCAGCAACACUUCCUGUUUGCAUAUGUGUUUGAUGAAGCUACAGGUUUCAUUUGUUUUAAUUUUCCUGCAAACAUUGUUGUCUGUUGUUGUGCAUGCAGAUGUCAUCUGUUUAUUCACAUUGUGUUUUCAAACCAUGCUAUAAAAAGAAAGUCUGGAACAAAAUAAAAUCC